rnacentral:lncRNA from 1 species
GUGAAAAGGAUGGCUGUAUUUUUCUUUUCAAGUCCUGAGAGACCCUGCAUACGUUCUCCAGCAUCCUCAGGAGGAAAAAAAAAAGUUCCUAUCAAGGACAUCUUGCUACAGAGGACAUUAAACAUCUAUAAUGCUACAAGAUUGGUAUCCUGUGAUGCACAUACUGAGGAAUACUU